UUGCCUCAUGCAGUGCGACACAUCUCCUUUGCAUAGAGUUGAUCAGGCUGUUGAUUGUGGCCGGUGGAAUGUUGCCCCACUUCUCUUCCAUGGCUGUGAGAAGUUGCUGGAUAUUGGUGGGAAAUGGAACACGCUGUCGUACACGUCGAUCCAGUGCAUCCCAAACUGCUUAAUGGGUUACAUGUCUGCAUCAGUAGAACACGCCUGACUCUCCUCCACCAGUCAUACAAGGACAAUGGCCUCCCAUCAAAAAGAGAGCUGGCCCAAGCAAGCAAAGGCAGCAGUGCAGUCAUCAACUACAUGUCCCAUUUCUUCACCAACUACGGAGUUGGGGAAACACGUAUGGACCUGAAUAGUGAUAACUGUAGUGGCCAAAACAAGAACAAGUUUGUGCUCUGGUAUUGUGCCUGGAGGACCAUGUACAAGCUCCACCACAGUCUGGACCUUCACUUCCUGAUCACAGGCUAAAGUUUUCCCCCCGACCGGUGCUUUGGCCUCAAGCAGUGCUUCAGAAAGACCAGCGUGAACACUGUCUGAGACUGCUGGUGUUGUGAAGAACAGCACUGUGACAAGGUUCAACAUCCCACAGCUGGUUGGACUGGAGGAUGGUACGGUGCUGGUGGAAAGCUAUGGCUGGCAACAACACCUGACUCCGUACUUCAGGCAACAGAUCAAGCAGUACCAGCACUUCAGCUUCCUUGCUCUGGAGCCUGGUGUUGUUGUCGUCAAGGAGCGCUUGGACUGUCAGGACCAGAUUUUAGCUGCUGUGCAUCGCUGACAUCCUUCCUCCCAUAGAUGGUCUGCCUGUACAAGCACCACCUGGACUGGACACAGCUAGACAAAUAUAUGGGAAACAGUGUUUAAACCCUUUACAAUGAAGAUCUAUGAAGUUUUUAAUAUUUUUUUUACGAAUUAUCUUUGAAAGACAGGUCCUGAAAAAGGGACGUUUCUUAUUUUGCUGAGUUUAUAUGGCUGGUAAACAGCAAGCUACAAUGUUACAACCAGCCAUCUAAAGCUAGGUUUACCAGCAAGCAUUAGCACAGGGCCUCCCGAGUGGCGCUGCAGUCUAAGGCACCACUACAGACCCGAGUUUAAUCCCGGGCUGUGUCGCAGCCGGAUAUGCUGUUCCCACACAACCAAUAGGUCCCAUUAGAGGCUGAUUUCUUUGUUUCCAAGGUUAUAUUAUGCACUGGGAGGACAACACUUACAUGUAAGUCUCUGCCCAUCAGCAAAUCAUGAACUGUCAGUGAGCAAUUUGAUUCUCCAUCAGAGUCCAUUGUACAAUUGCACACAUUUUCACCUAGGUAGACAGACCCAUUACCCUGUAUACACCAGGCUGCAGUCAAUGAGCUUUCUAUUGGGAUAGGGGGGGCCAGAUUUUAUUUUCACAAGGUCUUCUAUAACUACCUUUCCAAGUUUGGUUAUAAAAAGCAAAACGUGUCAUAAGGUCCAGUCGCCGAGGUGGGGAAUUGUAAAACCACAGUGCUGGGAGAAUGGUCAAAGUUUCAUUUAAACCGGCUGGGACACCCAAUAAAGGAAGCCCUUCACCUACCCCCUGUGGGCUUAGCCCACAGACCCAACAGGAAGUGUUUGGGAAGAUGCCAUUCGCCACCAUCUGUGCUGUGGAAAGGAAUUAGUUCAUAGUUUCUGAAGUCUCGUUUUCCUCUCGCAACCUCACCAGUAUCUUCUGGGCCUCUACUCCGGGCCUGCGGUCGUCCCAUUGGCUGGGGACGGUUCCUGUAUCCUAUUAGGUAAUUACUGGCCAGCAAGAGGCAGACAACGGUCCCCACUAUCGUGGUAUAGUGUGAUAAAUUGCAGGCCAUACUACUUGCCUUGAGAGUUUUCAGGUAUACUUUCGUGGCUGUUUAUUUACCACCACAGACAGAUGCUGGCACUAAGACCGCACUCAGACAGCUGUAUAAGGAAAUAAGCAAACAGGAAACCACUCACCCAGAGGCGGCGCUCCUAGUGGUCGGAGACUUUAAUGCAGGGAAACUUAAAUCAGUUCUACCAAAUUUCCAUCGAUAUGUUAAAUGUGCUACCAGAGGGAAAAAAAAUCUAGAUCACCUUUACUCCACACACAGAGACGUGUACAAAGCUCUCACUCACCCUCCAUUUGGUAAAUCUGACCAUAACUCUAUCCUCCUGAUUCCUGC